UACGUAGGUGGCAAGCGUUGUCCGGAAUUAUUGGGCGUAAAGCGCGCGCAGGCGGCUUCUUAAGUCUGAUGUGAAAUCUCGGGGCUCAACCCCGAGCGGCCAUUGGAAACUGGGAAACUUGAGUACAGAAGAGGAGAGUGGAAUUCCACGUGUAGCGGUGAAAUGCGUAGAUAUGUGGAGGAACACCAGUGGCGAAGGCGACUCUCUGGUCUGUAACUGACGCUGAGGCGCGAAAGCGUGGGGAGCAAACAGG
rnacentral:rRNA from 1 species